UAAAUGUGAUGAUGUUCAACAAGGACAAGCGCAGGGUCCUGCACGUAGGAUGGAAGAAUCCCAUGCACUGCUACAGACCAGGGACCAAAUGGCUAAGUGGCAGUUCU